AAUAAGAAAAUGACAAAUCAAAUUUUUUCCACCUGAUUUUCAGGUUUUUCCUCCUGCAAAAAUUCAAAUCAAGCUAAGAAUACUAAAAAUCAGGAGAAAAAAUCUGAUUUAUCAUUCUCUUAUU
rfam:Gossypium arboreum cultivar AKA8401 contig_45239_1, whole genome shotgun sequence.